GACGAACGCUGGCGGCGUGCCUAAUACAUGCCAGUAGAACGCUGAAGAGAGGAGCUUGCUCUUCUCGGAUGAGUUGCGAACGGGUGAGUAACGCGUAGGUAACCUGCCUGGUAGCGGGGGAUAACUAUUGGAAACGAUAGCUAAUACCGCAUGAAAUUGCUUAUCGCAUGAUAAUUGAUUGAAAGAUGCAAUUGCAUCACUACCAGAUGGACCUGCGUUGUAUUAGCUAGUUGGUGAGGUAACGGCUCACCAAGGCGACGAUACAUAGCCGACCUGAGAGGGUGAUCGGCCACACUGGGACUGAGACACGGCCCAGACUCCUACGGGAGGCAGCAGUAGGGAAUCUUCGGCAAUGGGGGGAACCCUGACCGAGCAACGCCGCGUGAGUGAAGAAGGUUUUCGGAUCGUAAAGCUCUGUUGUAAGAGAAGAACGGGUGUGAGAGUGGAAAGUUCACACUGUGACGGUAUCUUACCAGAAAGGGACGGCUAACUACGUG
rnacentral:rRNA from 1 species